CGGCUAUCUGCAGUCGAGCGAACUGAUUAGAAGCUUGCUUCUAUGACGUUAGCGGCGGACGGGUGAGUAACACGUGGGCAACCUGCCUGUAAGACUGGGAUAACUUCGGGAAACCGAAGCUAAUACCGGAUAGGAUCUUCUCCUUCAUGGGAGAUGAUUGAAAGAUGGUUUCGGCUAUCACUUACAGAUGGGCCCGCGGUGCAUUAGCUAGUUGGUGAGGUAACGGCUCACCAAGGCAACGAUGCAUAGCCGACCUGAGAGGGUGAUCGGCCACACUGGGACUGAGACACGGCCCAGACUCCUACGGGAGGCAGCAGUAGGGAAUCUUCCGCAAUGGACGAAAGUCUGACGGAGCAACGCCGCGUGAGUGAUGAAGGCUUUCGGGUCGUAAAACUCUGUUGUUAGGGAAGAACAAGUACAAGAGUAACUGCUCGUACCUUGACGGUACCUAACCAGAAAGCCACGGCUAACUACGUGCCAGCAGCCGCGGUAAUACGUAGGUGGCAAGCGUUAUCCGGAAUUAUUGGGCGUAAAGCGCGCGCAGGCGGUUUCUUAAGUCUGAUGUGAAAGCCCACGGCUCAACCGUGGAGGGUCAUUGGAAACUGGGGAACUUGAGUGCAUAAGAGAAAAGCGGAAUUCCACGUGUAGCGCUGAAAUGCGUACAGAUGCGGAGGAACUCCAGUGGCGAAUUUGCUUCUUAGGUCUGUA
rnacentral:rRNA from 1 species